rnacentral:ncRNA from 1 species
UGAUAGCGAUGAUCCGGGAGGUUGCAGAAGUCUGCCCAUCUGGGCUCUCAAGCUGGUAAUUCACGGGGAGUGAAUGUCAAGUUCAAGAAACUGACGACAA